GGCCUGUAUAAGCAGGUACGGUCACUGCGGACAAUCCUCCUCAGAUAGCUGAACUCACCAAUACUGGUUUCAUUCAAAAGCUGGUUUAUUCUGAACAUCACACAACAGGAAUACAGCAAAAUGAAUGGAUUUCAGUAUUAUGCGGUCAAAAGAUGAUGCUUUCCUUAGCUUAGCAUGAGGGAUACAAGAGUCCCAGUUACAUGAGGCAAAUGCAAGCAGCCAUGACACAGGAAGUACCGCCAGAGCAGGGGUGGAGUUUUACAUACAAGGAAAUGAUGUAUCAUGCUCACAGGAGGAACAAGGGCAUUACCAAAAAGGGCCAGAAGGAGGCAGCAAAUACCUACCUAUAGAAAAAUACAAGGUAAAUAAAUCACAGAAUAUGCUAGGUAAAUUGCAUCUACAAUAAUGAGAAUAUUAACUGUGUAACAGCACACUCCCCGUCUGACAUUGUAAAUGUCACUAUUUUAUACCAUAACGGUAGUUAUACAAGUGCAAAUAAACAACAGUGCAAUUUGCUUGAUGUCUU